rnacentral:rRNA from 1 species
GACGAACGCUGGCGGCGUGCUUAACACAUGCAAGUCGAACGGAAAGGCCCUGCUUUUGUGGGGUGCUCGAGUGGCGAACGGGUGAGUAACACGUGAGUAACAUGCCCUUGACUUUGGGAUAACUUCAGGAAACUGGGGCUAAUACCGGAUAGGAGCUCCUGCUGCAUGGUGGGGGUUGGAAAGUUUCGGCGGUUGGGGAUGGACUCGCGGCUUAUCAGCUUGUUGGUGGGGUAGUGGCUUACCAAGGCUUUGACGGGUAGCCGGCCUGGGAGGGUGACCGGCCACAUUGGGACUGAGAUACGGCCCAGACUCCUACGGGAGGCAGCAGUGGGGAAUAUUGCACAAUGGGCGGAAGCCUGAUGCAGCAACGCCGCGUGCGGGAUGACGGCCUUCGGGUUGUAAACCUCUUUCGCCUGUGACGAAGCGUGAGUGACGGUAAUGGGUAAAGAAGCACCGGCUAACUACGUG